GCCUACGGGAGGCAGCAGUGGGGAAUUUUUCGCAAUGGGGGCAACCCUGACGAAGCAAUGCCGCGUGGAUGAAGAAGGCCUUCGGGUUGUAAAGUCCUUUCGUGAGGACGAAAAGGCGGGUUCUAAUACGAUCUGCUGU
rnacentral:rRNA from 1 species